rnacentral:rRNA from 1 species
GAUGAACGCUGGCGGCGUGCUUAACACAUGCAAGUCGAACGGAAAGGCCCUGCUUUUGUUGCGUGCUCGAGAGGCGAGGACGGGAGUAAAACGCGAGUAACCUGCACUUAUCUUUGGGAUAUCUUCAGGGGACUGGGGCGAAUACCGCAUAGGAGCUCCUGCUGCGUGUGGGUGGAUGGAAAGAUUCGGCUGUUGGGGAUGGACUCGCGGCUUAUCCGCUUGUUGGUGGGGUAGUGGCUUACAAAGGCUUUGACGGGUAGCCGGCAUGAGAGGGUGGACGGGCACAUUGGGACUGAGAGACGGCCCAGACUCCUACGGGACGCAGCAGUCGAGAAUAUUGCACAAUGGGGCGACGCCUGAUGCAGCAACGCCGCGUUCGGGAUGCCGGCCUUCUGGUUGUAAACCGCUUUCGCCUGUGCCGAAGCGUGAGUGACGGUAAUGGGUAAAGAAGCACCGGCUAACUACGUG